rnacentral:rRNA from 1 species
GACGAACGCUGGCGGCGUGCUUAACACAUGCAAGUCGAACGGUAAGGCCCUUCGGGGUACACGAGUGGCGAACGGGUGAGUAACACGUGGGUGAUCUGCCCUGCACUUCGGGAUAAGCCUGGGAAACUGGGUCUAAUACCGGAUAGGACCACUGCCUGCAUGGGUGGUGGUGGAAAGCUUUUGCGGUGUGGGAUGGGCCCGCGGCCUAUCAGCUUGUUGGUGGGGUGAGGGCCUACCAAGGCGACGACGGGUAGCCGGCCUGAGAGGGUGACCGGCCACACUGGGAGUGAGGUACGGCCCAGACUCCUACGGGAGGCAGCAGUGGGGAAUAUUGCACAAUGGGCGCAAGCCUGAUGCAGCGACGCCGCGUGAGGGAUGACGGCCUUCGGGUUGUAAACCUCUUUCAGCACCGACGAAGCGCAAGUGACGGUAGGUGCAGAAGAAGGACCGGCCAACUACGUGCCAGCCGCCGCGGUAA